UCUCAAAGCAGACAAAAACUGUCCGGCAGGCCCGAAAGACACCUAACUAUUCACAGAUGGCCCUGGAGGUUGCUCUCAGGAGACAGGAACUAGACACAGUGUUUACAAAAAUCCCUGAGCCUAAAUGUACAGAAAAUGGGGCAGCAGUGACAGAGUUAAAAACAAAACAAAACCAAAAGACUAAGACAACACAGGACUCAGAAAUGUGGCUGACCACCUGACCAGAGCGGGGAGACCAGACUCUGGAAUGACAGGCUACCUCUCUUUCCUUCCCACCCUCUCCAAACCUGCUGCUGCAGAACAAAGACAGAUCUUUGUAAUAUUUUGGGUCCUGAUCUCCCCCCACACCCUGUGAGCAACAGUCAAACUACAUUAGAGGCCACUCUGAAGACUAACUGAUCAGGGACAGUUGCAUUCUGAGAUCCUGGAGGUUAAUUCUUCAACAUUAUAGAGGGACAUAGUCUUUAAUGCUCACAUUGCUAAUUUUAAUAUUUAAGGCUUACUUGGAAAUAAUCAUAUCCCUUCACAUAUUCAUCUGCUGUCAUCUCUGUAGAUAAAAAGCUAAGAGAAAAAUACACAAUUUCCUAAUGA
rnacentral:lncRNA from 1 species